AUUAAACAGCAAUGCCUCAGCUAUGUGCAUGGGGCUCAGUUUUGCAACACCUGAAAACAAACAUUCCCUACCAAGCAGGGAGGCUAAGAAAUCGGGAGAGAAAUACAUGGACCGUAUGACCAGCUCUGCAGUCUGCAAAGAGGAUCAACCCAGCUGUCAGCUAGUCCUGCGCUGGAAGUCUGAUGGCGAGCAGCACCUUCACCCAGAAGUGCCAUUUCAAGAGGACUGUCAGCGCAGAAGCCUUCUUUCUGUUAAGUGCUGGGUGUUACAACAUAGUCUUGCAUUGGGCAAGUGAAAUGAGUAAGCUGAGUUCCUGGCACCGGCUGGAAACUCUGAGACUGGCUGCUUCGGUGAGCUGGAGGCCACCAGUUUGGAUAUCCAUGGAAACUUCCCUGUUCCUCACUACCAGCCACCCACUCUCACCUCCCCUCUGCAGAAGUGGAAGAUGAGCACACAGCAUCCACCCCACCACGUAGAUGCGGACAGGGCCGCAUCACAUGCACAUGUUUUGUAACUGUAUGUGCACUGCUCACCCCCUCAUCCCAUCUCCCCCGCAGGAGCCAUGCAGAACCACAACCUGCCACAGCCUGCCCUCCAACACCAGUGUGCAGAGCAAAUUAUACACUUCAGCAUGGGCAGAAAGAGGGAGGGAAGCUUCAGGGAGUCAGGCUGUUCUCAAUUAGCAGUUAUCUCCAGCAGCUUAUCUGAUUAAUGGCUGCACCUCACACUGUGCCUGGGUAAUAGGUGCAGGGAAGGUGCUUUAAAAGUGCUUUGCUCCUAAUUACUGUGGAGACUGACACAGUGGGUAUCUCUCGUUAGAGUAAACAUCUUCCAGUCCUCCCCCCCCCCCGCCCUGCUCAGAUCUAUGCACAUACCAAAGCUGGGCCUGGGCAGACAGCACAGGUGGGAGCAGGGCAGGUACAGGAGCCAGCAGGAACCUGAGCACUGCGGGGCUGAGCAAAGCUCUGUGCUGCCAUCCACACUAAGCUCCUCACAUCUUCAAGCCCUCUCUCAUUCCUAUGUAUAUCAACAGGUCUUUGGGGUUGGGUUAGGCUUAGGACACACUGGCACAACCAGCAGACGUAUGUGCAGAACUGGUUUCAGCAGUGUGGGACAGGAACAUCAGGAGGAGAUGAGAAUGACCAGGCAGUUCCUUUGCAUCAGGCUUAUAGGAUCACGAUAGUCACCAAACUGACAAGAAUUUGGAGAUCUUAUCAGAUAUUUUGAUCUAAAAAACACCAAAGCCAUGGCUGUACUGCAAAGGAAUACAACAUAUCCUAAUCACAGCUGAAUUACACCAAAAUUACUAGCAAUUUGUGGCUAUCUGAGGGACUCCUGCUUCCCUCUCUUUCUUUUCAAGAAGUUCACGUAAUUUCACACUCACUGCAAAGUAAAGAAAGGUUUAAAAGUACACUUACCUUUUGAAAAUACCAACUCUUCUUUAGAAAUGAGCACUGGUGAAUUAUGAAUGAAGGCACACAGAGCUGAAAGCUCCUGCUUAUACAUUUUUAAAUGUAGCCUUUCGCUUCUGAUAAUGCUUUGAAAAACCAACCGGACCGGAGCUUACAGUCCAUGGCAAAAACUACCACUUUCCCUGAUCUGAAGAGUCCUGGCUGCCUCAGAGAGGUUACACCUGGUGCUGUCUCCCUUGUAGCCUGGAGGAGAGGGCAGCAGCUCAAAAUAAUAAUAGCAAUAACAAUGAUAAUGGUAAUGAUGAUGAUGAUAUUAGUAAUAAACCAAAUUUCCAGCUCUGGAGCUCUUAUUUUUGGCUCUUUGCUUGGCAGGAUGGUUGUUGGUGUGGAGGCGCCCGGCCCCACUAAGGGACCUCUGUGAGCAAGGGAUGUGUCCAGCACACAGACCUGGGCACAGACCCUGACAUGGCACAGCUGUGCCUUGCCUGUGCAUUCUAUUUCAUAGGACUCAUAACCAUCCUGUUGAAUGACAAGAUGUCCUACCUGCAGGACCAGCUGUGCCCAUUCAAGUACUCGCACGGCUGUACCAUCCUUCUAGUCCCAGGCUUUGCCCCAUUCAAACUACCCAAAAUGAGUUUUCAUGAACCAGAGACAUCUUUGGCCCAUUCUCCUGGGACACACAGGGACAGAGUCCAGGCUGAUUUUUGCAGUAGCAGAAGGUGUCACACAUUUUCCUGGCUAUACAGAUGAGGAGAUACCAGCCAAACUCAUGUGAGAAGAGAGCUGCUUUCCACAUAGACACUGGAUACCUCUCCCUUUCCCAUGGCUCUGUCAGCUACAGUAUCCACCUAAUAUUAGGACUGUGACGUUGCUAGGAUAUGUUCUGCUUAAAAACAAAUCUCCCUUUUAUUUUCCAUAACCUUUCCCACUCUGGCUUUACAGUUAUAUAUCUUCCCCUCACAUUCAUUUUGAGAACCAAAUGAUUUCCAGUUUGUGUUGGCUGCUGCCCAUCGUACACACUCUCUUUCUCAUGUGGUCUAUGUUUCUUCUUUCACUCUCCCAGUGCCUUUGUUCCAUCGGUGAAUCAAAAGGUGGCUCACUUCAAAUUGCUCUGCUCUCCCUUCAAUAGAUUUCUCUGCGUGAGUUUUCACUUAUUAAGGAUUGCCAAGAGGAGUUUUUUCCACGUUUUCUUUUCUUCAUAUUUCUUUUCAAUCAGUUUCACUUGACAGUGGUCAGGUCUGCCUGAUAUCUCCUUUGCAGCACAGCACAGACACUGCUGGCAUUGUUCAGUACAAAUUUGCAGUCAGGAAUUUGUGGUUCUGAACUGUAAACACCGAAAACCAUUAAACCAGCUUUCUUACUC
ensembl:lncRNA